CUACGGGAGGCAGCAGUGGGGAAUAUUGCACAAUGGGCGAAAGCCUGAUGCAGCAACGCCGCGUGGAGGAUGACACAUUUCGGUGCGUAAACUCCUUUUAUAUAGGAAGAUAAUGACGGUACUAUAUGAAUAAGCGCCGGCUAACUCCGUGCCAGCAGCCGCGGUAAUACGGAGGGUGCAAGCGUUACUCGGAAUCACUGGGCGUAAAGAGCGUGUAGGCGGAUAGAUAAGUUGGGAGUGAAAUCCUAUGGCUCAACCAUAGAACUGCUUCCAAAACUGUCUAUCUAGAGUAUGGGAGAGGUAGAUGGAAUUUCUGAUGUAGGGGUAAAAUCCGUAGAGAUCAGAAGGAAUACCGAUUGCGAAGGCGAUCUACUGGAACAUUACUGACGCUGAGACGCGAAAGCGUGGGGAGCAAACAGGAUUAGAUACCCCUGUAGUC
rnacentral:rRNA from 1 species